rnacentral:rRNA from 1 species
UGGGGAAUUUUGGACAAUGGGGGAAACCCUGAUCCAGCCAUCCCGCGUGUGCGAUGAAGGCCUUCGGGUUGUAAAGCACUUUUGGCAGGAAAGAAACGUCGCGGGUUAAUACCCCGCGAAACUGACGGUACCUGCAGAAUAAGCACCGGCUAACUACGUGCCAGCAGCCGCGGUAAUACGUAGGGUGCAAGCGUUAACCGGAAUUACUGGGCGUAAAGCGUGCGCAGGCGGUUCGGAAAGAAAGAUGUGAAAUCCCAGAGCUUAACUUUGGAACUGCAUUUUUAACUACCGGGCUAGAGUGUGUCAGAGGGAGGUGGAAUUCCGCGUGUAGCAGUGAAAUGCGUAGAUAUGCGGAGGAACACCGAUGGCGAAGGCAGCCUCCUGGGAUAACACUGACGCUCAUGCACGAAAGCGUGGGGAGCAAACAGGAUUAGAUACCCUGGUAGUCCACGCCCUAAACGAUGUCAACUAGCUGUUGGGGCCUUCGGGCCUUGGUAGCGCAGCUAACGCGUGAAGUUGACCGCCUGGGGAGUACGGUCGCAGGAUU